rnacentral:lncRNA from 1 species
AUAUGAGCAUGAAUAUUGGAGCUAAAAUUUGGUGCCAUGCUUUUUGGGAAAAUUCGGCCAAAACCAAAGGGUGAAUUUUUGGGUUCUUGUUUGACUUGUUAAAAGUGUUUUAAUGUGUUCUUUGGAACCCCUAAGUACCCUAGUUUGGUUAGAUGUUAUUUCCCUCAAGUAAGAAUGGUUUUGGAAUGUUUUUGGGUGAAAAAAGUUCAUGGAAAAAUUUGGGUUUUUCAUGGAUGUUCUUCAUUGUUCUUGAUGUUCUUGCCAAGAACAAAAAGGUUUGGUGUUUUGAUUCAAAGUUUUGAAUUAUUUCAUAAAGUUUAUGUGAUUUGUUUUUAAAUGAUUUAUCAUGUAUUUAAAGUGUUAAAUAUUUGUAUAAAUGAUGAUUGAAAUAAUUGUGAUUGAAUUAUUUCAAAACUUAUCCUUUCACAUACACUUGCAUGAUUAUUUUUGACAAAACUCACAAAUCAACACACACAUCACUCUUAUCCUCUCCCCAAAACCGGCCACUCCCUCAAAGGGAGUACUUUUGGGACUUUUAUGCAAUUACAUAAAGUUUUGAUACUUUUGUGUAUUUGCACUUUGGCCCAAAAGUUUACGUUUUUACGUUUAGGUCCAAAAACGCUAAAGGACAAAUUGUUUUGUUCCUUUAAUGAUGUUUUUGCAUUAUUAAAAGUUUGGGUUCUAGUUGUAUUUACAUGAAGUUGUGACUUUUGUGUAUUGUACAAAGUGACCCCAAAAGUUUUUGUUAUUGCAAUAUGGCCCAAAAGUUGAGG